AAUUCUUUCUGGCUAUUUUUGAGAUUUUGGCAUUGCAGCACUCCCGUGCUCUGGCGAUGGCACCGCCACUUGUGGCGGUGGUUUGCCUCAGCCUGGACAUUUUUGACUGAUUUAGGCUGGUUUCAGUCGACUUUACAUGUAUCCCUGCGAAAAGCACAUUAUGGAGUCUCGGUUGGUCCAAAAAAAAUUAAGAAACUGAAAACUACCAGUGGUGGGAUUUUCGGGUGCAGUAGCUCCACCGGCUCUCCUUCGCGGCUGGGAUUCCUCCUUCGAUCAACCUGCAGAAAAUAGAACGGUGAAUAUAACGGUAAAAAAAUUGCAUGAAACGAGAACCGAGAAGGGGCUCAUUGGAGGAGAUUGUGGGUUUUGGGCCGCGACGACUCCACCGGACUUUACUUGCCGUUUUUAGCUCACUCACCGUUAGUUUUACUCCGAUAUGGCCACAUGGGUGUUCGGAAUCGAAUUCUGAAAGG
rnacentral:lncRNA from 1 species